GGCUAAAUACUCCUGACUGACCGAUAGUGAACCAGUACCGUGAGGGAAAGGCGAAAAGAACCCCGGCGAGGGGAGUGAAAAAGAACCUGAAACCGUGUACGUACAAGCAGUGGGAGCACGCUUAGGCGUGUGACUGCGUACCUUUUGUAUAAUGGGUCAGCGACUUAUAUUCUGUAGCAAGGUUAACCGAAUAGGGGAGCCGAAGGGAAACCGAGUCUUAACUGGGCGUUAAGUUGCAGGGUAUAGACCCGAAACCCGGUGAUCUAGCCAUGGGCAGGUUGAAGGUUGGGUAACACUAACUGGAGGACCGAACCGACUAAUGUUGAAAAAUUAGCGGAUGACUUGUGGCUGGGGGUGAAAGGCCAAUCAAACCGGGAGAUAGCUGGUUCUCCCCGAAAGCUAUUUAGGUAGCGCCUCGUGAAUUCAUCUCCGGGGGUAGAGCACUGUUUCGGCAAGGGGGUCAUCCCGACUUACCAACCCGAUGCAAACUGCGAAUACCGGAGAAUGUUAUCACGGGAGACACACGGCGGGUGCUAACGUCCGUCGUGAAGAGGGAAACAACCCAGACCGCCAGCUAAGGUCCCAAAGUCAUGGUUAAGUGGGAAACGAUGUGGGAAGGCCCAGACAGCCAGGAUGUUGGCUUAGAAGCAGCCAUCAUUUAAAGAAAGCGUAAUAGCUCACUGGUCGAGUCGGCCUGCGCGGAAGAUGUAACGGGGCUAAACCAUGCACCGAAGCUGCGGCAGCGACGCUUAUGCGUUGUUGGGUA
rnacentral:rRNA from 1 species